GCAGAUUCACUCUGCACCUGACUGCAGCUCCAGUCUGGUGCUUUUUCUGUCUGCCAAAGAAACAUUCCAGGGUGCUGUGGCUGCCUCUGCCUGUUGGGGGUCAUACAGCUACCUGGGGACAUGGUG
rnacentral:snoRNA from 1 species